rnacentral:rRNA from 1 species
GUCUACAGCCAUACCACCCUGAAUGCGCCUGAUCUCGGCUGAUCUCGGAAGCUAAGCAGGGUUGGGCCUGGUUAGUACUUGGAUGGGAGACAACCAUAGAUUCACAGGUAGAGAUC